rnacentral:rRNA from 1 species
ACGGGGGGGGCAAGCGUUGUUCGGAAUUACUGGGCGUAAAGGGCUCGUAGGCGGCCAACUAAGUCAGACGUGAUAUCCCUCGGCUUAACCGGGGAACUGCAUCUGAUACUGGAUGGCUUGAGUUCGGGAGAGGGAUGUGGAAUUCCAGGUGUAGCGGUGAAUUGCGUAGAUAUCUGGAGGAACACCGGUGGCGAAGGCGGCAUCCUGGACCGACACUGACGCUGAAGAGCGAAAGCCAGGGGAGCAAACGGGA